rnacentral:ncRNA from 1 species
UACCUGGUUGAUCCUGCCAGUAGUCAUAUGCUUGUCUCAAAGAUUAAGCCAUGCAUGUGUAAGCACACACUGUUUUAAAAGUGAAGCCGCGAAUGGCUCAUUACAACAGCCACAGUUUAUUAGAACUUACAAUCAUGGAUAACUGUGGUAAUUCUAGAGCUAAUACACGCACAAAAACUUCAACUGAAUUGGUUGAAGUGCUUUUAUUAGAACAAAAACCGAACGGCGUUUGACGAAUGUUGAACGUCGAAACUGUUUGGUGAAUCUGAAUAACUAUUUCUGAUCGCAUGGUCUAGCACCGGCGACAUCACUUUCAAGUGUCUGCCUUAUCAACCUUCGAUGGUAGUCUAUGCGACUACCAUGGUGAUACGGUACGGAGAAUCAUGGCUUCGACUCUGGAGAGGGAGCCUGAGAAACGGCUACC